AACUCGUGAUAAGGGCAACUUCUCAAGAGUUCUUUGAAUCUAUCUCAUGCCUCUUGCAGUAUUUCAUCUUCCCUUUGAAAAAAAAGCAGAGAUUUCUUGCCUCAACUU